GACGGGGGGGGCAAGCGUUGUUCGGAAUUACUGGGCGUAAAGCGUGCGCAGGCGGUUAUUUAAGUCAGGUGUGAAAGCCCUGGGCUUAACCUAGGAAUUGCGCUUGAGACUGGAUAGCUUGGAGUGCGGCAGAGGGAGGUGGAAUUCCACGUGUAGCAGUGAAAUGCGUAGAGAUGUGGAGGAACACCGAUGGCGAAGGCAGCCUCCUGGGCCAGCACUGACGCUCAUGCACGAAAGCGUGGGGAGCAAACAGG
rnacentral:rRNA from 1 species